UACGUAGGGGGCGAGCGUUGUCCGGAAUCAUUGGGCGUAAAGGGUUUGUAGGUGGCUUGCUCAGUCAGACGUGAAAUCCCUCAGCUUAACUGGGGAACUGCGUCUGAUACUAGCGAGCUUGAGUGCAGGAGAGGAACGCGGAAUUCCAGGUGUAGCGGUGAAAUGCGUAGAUAUCUGGAGGAACACCGGGUGGCGAAGGCGGCGUUCUGGACUGCAACUGACACUGAAAAAACGAAAAGCCAGGGGAGCAAACGGG
rnacentral:rRNA from 1 species